rnacentral:rRNA from 1 species
CCUACGGGUGGCAGCAGUCGAGAAUCAUUCACAAUGGGGGAAACCCUGAUGGUGCGACGCCGCGUGGGGGAAUGAAGGUCUUCGGAUUGUAAACCCCUGUCAUGUGGGAGCAAGUUAAAAAGAUAGUACCACAAGAGGAAGAGUCGGCUCACUCUGUGACAGCAGCCGCGGUAAUACAGAGGUCUCUAGCGAUGUUCGGAAUCACUGGGCGUAAAGCGUGCGUAGGCUGUUUCGUAAGUCGUGUGUGAAAGGCGCGGGCUCAACCAGCGGAUGGCACAUGAUACUGCGAGACUAGAGUAAUGGAGGGGGAACCGGAAUUCGCGGUGUAGCAGUGAAAUGCGUAGAUAUCGAGAGGAACACUCGUGGCGAAGGCGGGUUCCUGGACAUUAACUGACGCUGAGGCACGAAGGCCAGGGGAGCGAAAAGGAUUAGAUACCCUUGUAGUC